GCCUGGCUGGCUCAGUUGGAUGAGCGUCUGACUUCGGUUCAGGUCAUGAUCUCGCAGGUCGUGGGUUCGAGCCCCGCGUCGGGCU